rnacentral:rRNA from 1 species
GCGAAUGGAUUAGAGCUUGCUCUUAUGAAGUUAGCGGCGGACGGGUGAGUAACACGUGGGUAACCUGCCCAUAAGACUGGGAUAACUCCGGGAAACCGGGGCUAAUACCGGAUAACAUUUUGAACCGCAUGGUUCGAAAUUGAAAGGCGGCUUCGGCUGUCACUUAUGGAUGGACCCGCGUCGCAUUAGCUAGUUGGUGAGGUAACGGCUCACCAAGGCAACGAUGCGUAGCCGACCUGAGAGGGUGAUCGGCCACACUGGGACUGAGACACGGCCCAGACUCCUACGGGAGGCAGCAGUAGGGAAUCUUCCGCAAUGGACGAAAGUCUGACGGAGCAACGCCGCGUGAGUGAUGAAGGCUUUCGGGUCGUAAAACUCUGUUGUUAGGGAAGAACAAGUGCUAGUUGAAUAAGCUGGCACCUUGACGGUACCUAACCAGAAAGCCACGGCUAACUACGUGCCAGCAGCCGCGGUAAUACGUAGGUGGCAAGCGUUAUCCGGAAUUAUUGGGCGUAAAGCGCGCGCAGGUGGUUUCUUAAGUCUGAUGUGAAAGCCCACGGCUCAACCGUGGAGGGUCAUUGGAAACUGGGAGACUUGAGUGCAGAAGAGGAAAGUGUAAUUCCAUGUGUAGCGAUGAAAUGCGUAGAGAUAUGGAGGAACACCAGUGACGAAGGCGACUUUCUGGUCUGUAACUGACACUGAGGCGCGAA